GUCCUACACUCUUCCCGUGCCACUGAUCAUUACUAUGUAUUAACUUUAUUUAAUAGUAAUUCAGCCUAGGUUGGUUCAUGAUCACAUGGUAGUUGUUAUUCCAUGUUACGGUAAAAUUUUGGAAAAUGGAAGGAAUGUUAGUAUGAUAAUCAUCAGCAUCUCCAUGGUUAUCACAGGAAAAUCACAGACAAACAGGAGUAACCGCUAGAACAAUAAUAAAUUCAAAACAUAGUAUGCAUUUUUAAAUCUUGAUAUAAGCCCAAAAGCCCAAAUUUAAACACAUUAAUGAGUUGAUUUUUUUUUAUCAUACAUCGAAUUCUCGAAAUGGGAAUUCAGAACAUUGCUUGAACAGUGAAUUUCAAGGAAUUUGUUUUAAUAUGAAUAGGCCUAGUGCACAUCAGCAACUUAUUGACUUAAGAUAAAUAUGUAUAAAGUUGAAAACAAAAAUUUGAUAAUGAGCUGAGAUUGAAACUUAGUCAGGUUUGCUAUGGUCUUACUUCAGAGUUAUGAGUGUUUAGAUCAAUCAGCUGAAUAAUGAUGGAGAAUAAAACGUAUCCAAAUCCACCAAAAAUACACUUAAGAAUUGCAUACCCAGGAAGCACGAAUGAGCAAAAAUUCCCUACACUAAAAAACAAACUAUUCGUGCAUUGAUUCGAACUAUUCGUGCAUGAUUAUGAGCUGCUGCUUCAGGCACGAGGAAAAUGUUUUCAACAACAUUUCUGAGCAUUUGGAGGUUUUCCCACCACGGUUGUUGUAUUUCAUUCACAAAUAAAUAAAAUCAAAUCAAGCUUCAACUGCCAUGCAAUGAGAACCGUUGAUUUAUAACAAUUCCGUAAAUAGUUUACUUUAGUUUCAGUUGCGAAAAAUAUUAUCGCAAUUGUAACCCCACUAGCGAUAUACAUCUGUUUCUUUCCAUUCAUUCUAUCGCAAAACAAUAAAUAGAAGUACAUUUCCAACGCCCACCUUAUCGAGUGUGUGAAAUCGUAAACAGUUUUCAUCAAUUUUCCUCCAACCGGCCAACGCUACUACGGGAAUGGACCCGAAUCGUUGGCUAUUACUACGGGUGCUCUGGAUCGAUAGCGUCCCAGUUACAGUGCACCUUUCGAGCAAACCAUCCGACCAACGGAACAAACUGAGCAAACAUUCUGUCUACACUAUCAACCUGGAAACCGUCGGAUAUUGGACACCACGAUGAAAAUCUCGGCCAUUUUCAUCACUCUGCUGGCCUCUCUGAUGGCACUGGUUCUGGGUCCACAGCAAACGGAAGCCGGCGUUGGCUAUUACUACAAGCCAUAUGGUUAUUACAGACCGUUCGUCAAAAAAAUAUACUACUACCCCGGUUAUCACUACGGACCUAGAUACUAUCGGCGAGGAUAUUACUGGUAAACGUCGACGGUCGCCAUAAUAUGUUAUUAUAUCUGUUGAUUCAGUGCUAGAGUAAGAGAAUUUUGUGCAGUGUCAAAUUGUCAAGCUAGAUAAUGUGUUACCCCCGAGGAAUCCAGUGUGUAAAAUAAAGUUCAAUCCUAAAGAA